rnacentral:rRNA from 1 species
GGAUUAGAUACCCUGGUAGUCCACGCUGUAAACGAUGGGCACUAGGUGUUGGUAGGGUAGAACCUAUCGGUGCCGGAGCUAACGCAUUAAGUGCCCUGCCUGGGGAGUACGGCCGCAAGGUUGAAACUCAAAGGAAUUGACGGGGGCCCGCACAAGCGGUGGAGCAUGUGGUUUAAUUCGAUGCUACGCGAAGAACCUUAUCCAGGCCUUGACAUAGUUGGAUGCUGCUCGUGAAAGCGAGUUAGUUGCCUUCGGGUGAAACUUCUACAGGUGCUGCAUGGCUGUCGUCAGCUCGUGCCG